rnacentral:rRNA from 1 species
ACACUCCUACGGGAGGCAGCAGUGGGGAAUAUUGGACAAUGGGCGCAAGCCUGAUCCAGCCAUGCCGCGUGAGUGAUGAAGGCCCUAGGGUUGUAAAGCUCUUUCACCGGUGAAGAUAAUGACGGUAACCGGAGAAGAAGCCCCGGCUAACUUCGUGCCAGCAGCCGCGGUAAUACGAAGGGGGCUAGCGUUGUUCGGAUUUACUGGGCGUAAAGCGCACGUAGGCGGACUAUUAAGUCAGGGGUGAAAUCCCGGGGCUCAACCCCGGAACUGCCUUUGAUACUGGUAGUCUUGAGUUCGAGAGAGGUGAGUGGAAUUCCGAGUGCAGAGGUGAAAUUCGUAGAUAUUCGGAGGAACACCAGUGGCGAAGGCGGCUCACUGGCUCGAUACUGACGCUGAGGUGCGAAAGCGUGGGGAGCAAACAGGAUUAGAAACCCUUGUAGUCCCAUGA